rnacentral:misc_RNA from 1 species
GAUGAAGAACGUAGCGAAACGCGAUAAGUAAUGUGAAUUGCAGAAUCCAGUGAAUCAUCGAAUCUUUAAACGCACAUUGCGCCCGCCAGCAUUCUGGCGGGCAUGCCUGUUCGAGCGUCAUUUCAACCCUCGACCUCCCCUUGGGGAGGUCGGCGUUGGGGACCGGCAGCACACCGCCGGCCCUGAAAUGGAGUGGCGGCCCGUCCGCGGCGACCUCUGCGCAGUAAUACAGCUCGCACCGGGACCCCGACGCGGCCACGCCGUAAAACACCCAACUUCUGAACGUUGACCUCGAAUCAGGUAGGACUACCCGCUGAACUUAAGCAUAUCAAUAAGCGGAGGA